rnacentral:rRNA from 1 species
GAUGAACGCUGGCGGCGUGCCUAAUACAUGCAAGUCGAGCGAACAGACGAGGAGCUUGCUCCUCUGACGUUAGCGGCGGACGGGUGAGUAACACGUGGAUAACCUACCUAUAAGACUGGGAUAACUUCGGGAAACCGGAGCUAAUACCGGAUAAUAUAUUGAACCGCAUGGUUCAAUAGUGAAAGACGGUUUUGCUGUCACUUAUAGCUGGAUCCGCGCCGCAUUAGCUAGUUGGUAAGGUAACGGCUUACCAAGGCAACGAUGCGUAGCCGACCUGAGAGGGUGGUCGGCCACACGGGAAGGGGGACACGGUCAAGACUCCUACGAGAGGCAGCAGUAGGGAAUCUGCCGCAAUGGGCGAGAGCCUGACGGAGCAACGCCGCGUGAGUGAUGAAGGUCUUCGGAUCGUGAAACUCUGUUAUUAGGGAAGAACAAAUGUGUAAGUAACUAUGCACGUCUUGACGGUACCUAAUCAGAAAGCAACGGCUAACUACGUG